UGGGGAAUAUUGCACAAUGGGGGAAACCCUGAUGCAGCGACGCCGCGUGAACGAAGAAGGUAUUCGUAUCGUAAAGUUCUGUCCUAUGGGAAGAUAAUGACAGUACCAUAGAAGAAAGCUCCGGCUAAAUACGUGCCAGCAGCCGCGGUAAUACGUAUGGAGCGAGCGUUGUCCGGAAUUAUUGGGCGUAAAGGGUACGAAGGCGGUUUAAUAAGUCGAAUGUUAAAGAUCGGGGCUCAACCCCGUAAAGCAUUGGAAACUGAUAAAAUUGAGUAGUGGAGAGGAAAGUGGAAUUCCUAGUGUAGUGGUGAAAUACGUAGAUAUUAGGAGGAAUAACAGUAGCGAAGGCGACUUUCUGGACACAAACUGACGCUGAGGUACGAAAGCGUGGGGAGCAAACAGG
rnacentral:rRNA from 1 species